GUGGAUGUGGUAAGAAGGGAGGGUGGGUGAGAGGGGUGGAGGAGACGGGGGGAGGAACAAGGCAUGAAAAUGUUACCUAAGAAGUCUAAAAAUUGUCUGGAGCCCAGAGGAAGGGAUUUGAUUUGGGGUUUUUUUUCUUUCUUUUUCAUAGGUGGAGGUGAAGCUGUGUUAUGAGUGAGUGAGUGAGUGAAGCGAUGGAUCAAGUAGCUCCACAUGAUUCCAUACUCAUGGAGGUUUUGAUGGGUGAUGUUGUGGUUGUUAUUGUCUUAAUGAUGAUUAGUACUAUCACACAGGAAGCCGAUAAACCAUAUCAUUGUUCCCAGCAGAGCCCUCGCGACAGCAGGAAGUGACACCCCGAGGUUUCUUCUGUGAUUUAAAUAAACAAACAACAACAAACCCUACACGGCUGUACAGUCCCACAGCUAACACAGCACACCAAGCUGCCUGGACGGAGGAGAUAAAGAUGGCGGACCCUCAGACCGAGACGUGGUCACUCCAUGGUUGUUCAGCAGACAGAAACAGAUUCCCACAGAUGGCGGUUUGACCUCUGAGUCAAACCUGUGACUAUUCACCAUUCGGGCAAGAGUCGGGGGUCAAGUUUAGGCCGCCGUGACCACAUAAAGAAACCAGAACCAGACCCCGACCUAGUCUUAAUCCUCCCUUCUUCCCCAGAGAGUUCCUCUCCUCCCCAUAAGCUGUGAAAAGGAGUGCCACUCUGCUCCUGUUACACAGCCAUGGUGGAGACGGCACUCUGAGCGCCAUGUUAAUGCAUGAUUUAACGUGUUAACCAGCACCAGAGAUUCAUUUGAAAUGAGCUAAGCACUUGUUAGUGCGUGUACGUGUGUUUGUGAGAGCAAAACAGACAUGCAGAUGAUGGUAGAGUUUACACAGCAAGUAUUAGUAAGCUAUGGUUAGAGGAAACAAAUCGCUACAGGGUUGAGUUAGCUUCAAUGGGAGGGCAAGUGUUGGGGGAGGGGAAUUGGAGAUAUUUUCUCUGCAACACCACAAUAAAAACCUGCUUAAAAAGACAAAAAAAUGUAUAACACGAAACAAAAAAGUAACACAACAUUCAGGCAUUCAAUGUGUGAACUGGGAUGAAGCUACAGAAGGGGAGAAAAGCUUUCUGGGCAGAAAGGACAGCUGAGUUUUGAAAGAUCAAGGUGAAGCCAACAUGGCAAAAAAAAUCAAACAACUGAAGCAGGAAAACCACUUUGCAGCCAACAAGCUUCACAAAUAAUAAUGUGCAAACUUUACCUCUUUUUAAAAUAGCCAACGCUGCAAACCUUUCAGUGGUACUACCAGCAAGCGGUUUGCAUCAAAACAGCACUAACCACUAGGCAGGAUGUGCAACAACGAAUCACACAUCUUGCGUAACAUCUGCCGCUCGCCUACUUUGAGCAACAAUUCACACCUUACAACAUUUGCUACCAACAUGAAACAGCGAUAUCUAUUGAGCGAGAGCGAGAGUACUUUAUCAGAGGAGACAGAAGAGAUGCUUCUGCGCCUGACAGGUUGUCAAAGAUUUAAAACCACCACCCUGCGCAGCUAGAAGAAGGAGGAAGGUUGCCUUUAAAUCAUGAUUCCCGGUGAGAAUAAUAAUUGUUCUUUGUGACAGUUUUUUUGUUGAGCUGAGCUGAGAUCACGUAGCUCUGGGUAAAUAUACAUACUCAGAAAUCAUCUCCAAAGGAGGGCGGAAGGGUAUUAAAAAUGGAUCGAGCUCCCUGGUCUGAAAAGUGAAACCUUAGGCCCCAAUUCUUUCCAACAGCCAGCAGGGGGGUGAUACUGAUAUAUCUGUGACAGGUCGAUAUUUAAUCGAUAUAUCAAAUACGGUCACUUCUGACUCCAAAAGACCAAGAUGGUGACAGCUAUAACGUCAAACUCAAGGCUUUAAAAUGGAAGUCCACAUACCAAUGGGCGAUGGCAGAGUUACACUUGGAUCUAAGGAAGUUCUUUAUGUCAUGACACUAUGAAAUAUUUAGCUUAAACCACCAGCUUAUACACACUGUCUGAUGGACUCAGAUGAAUUGUCAAUGGUGUGCCCUGAGGCUACUGGGUGUUCAUGUACAAAA